UACGAAGGGAGCAAGCGUUGUUCGGAAUUACUGGGCGUAAAGGGCGCGUAGGCGGAUCAAUUAGUCAGAGGUGAAAGCCCAGGGCUCAACCCUGGAAUUGCCUUUGAUACUGUUGAUCUUGAGAAUGAGAGAGGUAUGCAGAAUUCCCAGUGUAGAGGUGAAAUUCGUAGAUAUUGGGAAGAAUACCAGUGGCGAAGGCGGCAUACUGGCUCAUUUCUGACGCUGAGGCGCGAAAGCGUGGGGAGCAAACAGG
rnacentral:rRNA from 1 species